AUUGGUCUUUUCGAGAAUGCUAAUUCACAUGAACACCUUCUUAUUGGCUGAUUUAGAUCUUUUCUUCAAAUCUUUAGAAUAUUUUUAAAGAUUAAAGAUGUACUUUUGGAGGAGAUGAAAAGGUGAAAAAAAGAUGGAGAAGAAAAUAAUUUCUCUUUUAUUUUUUCUCUCUUCCCAAACCCUUAGGACCAAAACACUAGAAACUAGAUUUUUGCGCACACCCAAAGAGAAAGGACUCUCCU
rnacentral:lncRNA from 1 species